GACGAACGCUGGCGGCGUGCUUAACACAUGCAAGUCGAACGGAAAGGCCCUGCUUUUGUGGGUUGCUCGAGUGGCGAACGGGUGAGUAACACGUGAGUAACCUGCCCUUGACUUUGGGAUAACUUCAGGAAACUGGGGCUAAUACCGGAUAGGAGCUCCUGCUGCAUGGUGGGGGUUGGAAAGUUUCGGCGGUUGGGGAUGGACUCGCGGCUUAUCAGCUUGUUGGUGGGGUAGUGGCUUACGAAGGCUUUGACGGGUAGCCGGCCUGAGAGGGUGACCGGGCACAUUGGGACUGAGAUACGGACCAGACUCCUACGGGAGGCAGCAGUGGAGAAUAUUGCACAAUGGGCGGAAGCCUGAUGCAGCAACGCCGCGUGCGGGAUGACGGCCUUCGGGUUGUAAACCGCUUUCGCCUGUGACGAAGCGUGAGUGACGGUAAUGGGUAAAGAAGCACCGGCUAACUACGUG
rnacentral:rRNA from 1 species